rnacentral:rRNA from 1 species
UACGGAGGGUCCAAGCGUUAUCCGGAUUCACUGGGUUUAAAGGGUGCGUAGGCGGGUAUAUAAGUCAGUGGUGAAAGCUCCGACGCUUAACUUGGAAACUGCCAUUGAUACUGUAUAUCUUGAAUGUCGUAGAGGUUAGCGGAAUGUUGCAUGUAGCGGUGAAAUGCUUAGAUAUGUUACAGAACACCAAUUGCGAAGGCAGCUAACUAUGCGAUAAUUGACGCUGAGGCACGAAAGCGUGGGGAGCAAACAGG